GCAAAACAUGAGUGUAUAAAAGUGACACGCAACAUCGGAUCACAUGCAGAAAAACACUCAGAGAGAGGAGCUGCUACAUCGACUACGCAGACUAAGAGCAUGAAAGUUUUCAGAGCAGGAGCCGUCAUCGCUCCGUUGGUGUUGCUUCUGUUGACUUCCAAUGUGCAAUCCAGGGCCACUAAUGGGCUGAUUGUUCGCGGUGGAGGUGGCGGCGGAGGCGGUGGAGG